rnacentral:rRNA from 1 species
GACAGAGGGUGCAAACGUUUGUUCGGAAUUACUGGGCGUAAAGCGCGUGUAGGCGGCUCUGUAAGUCGGGUGUGAAAUCCCACGGCUCAACCGUGGAAGUGCACUCGAAACUACAGGGCUAGAGUCCUGGAGAGGAAGGUGGAAUGCUUGGUGUAGAGGUGAAAUUCGUAGAUAUCAAGCGGAACACCGGUGGCGAAGGCGGCCUUCUGGACAGUGACUGACGCUGAGACGCGAAAGCGUGGGGAGCAAACAGGG